GACGAACGCUGGCGGCGUGCCUAAUACAUGCAAGUAGAACGCACAGUUUAUACCGUAGCUUGCUACACCAUAAACUGUGAGUUGCGAACGGGUGAGUAACGCGUAGGUAACCUGCCUGGUAGCGGGGGAUAACUAUUGGAAACGAUAGCUAAUACCGCAUAAUAUUAAUUAUUGCAUGAUAAUUGAUUGAAAGAUGCAAUUGCAUCACUACCAGAUGGACCUGCGUUGUAUUAGCUAGUAGGUGAGGUAACGGCUCACCUAGGCGACGAUACAUAGCCGACCUGAGAGGGUGAGCGGCCACACUGGGACUGAGACACGGCCCAGACUCCUACGGGAGGCAGCAGUAGGGAAUCUUCGGCAAUGGACGAAAGUCUGACCGAGCAACGCCGCGUGAGUGAAGAAGGUUUUCGGAUCGUAAAGCUCUGUUGUAAGAGAAGAACGGGUGUGAGAGUGGAAAGUUCACACUGUGACGGUAUCUUACCAGAAAGGGACGGCUAACUACGUG
rnacentral:rRNA from 1 species